UGGAACUUCUUUGUCGGGCUUGGUAGCGGCAAAACUGGGAGCAGAUGUUACACUUACAGAUAAUUCAAGUCGACUAGAGGAUCAAGGAGGAAGAAACAUGAUGCUUCAACAACUUGGAGGAGUAAAUGCAAUUGGAUUCUAUAAAUUAUGCAAAGUUCAUCAAGUUAUGUAAACAAUUGUAUUCUUUAUAAUCUAUGUAAAAAAUUUAUGUA